ACUCCGACAUGGGGCACUUGCU
rnacentral:miRNA from 1 species